ensembl:lincRNA
GAAUAAUCCAAAUGUUCAAAUAACUCCAAAUUUUUUAAUGUUGUCAGUAAGUUCAAAUUAGAAGACUCACACAGCAUGGCUCACACAGCAUAGGGCAAACAUCAUAUCUGCAGGCUGAAUAUUGUCUUGGUGUCACCAAUUUGUAAAUCUCUGGUUAGAAUAUUUGUGCUGAAAGACACUUUAAGUAAUACCUAGCUCAUGCUUACCAUUUCACAGAUUAGGAAGUAGGGCCCUAUGAGGGAAAAGAACUUAGAACAAUUGCAGACCUUCAGUUACUUCAGUUGCAGACCUUCAGUUACUUCAGUUGCAGACCUAGGACACCAAGGGGCCAAAUCCAAUUCUUAUACCAGAUUCCCUUUUACCACCAGGCUACCUGUCAUGGCAAUGGUUUGGCAAGAUAUCUGUCUAUAUUAAAUGAAUGCUCUUUGGGGAAGUGUAUUUGAUUGCUAAAGUGGGAUGGUUGGGAGAAUUAUACCAACAUAGAAAGGAAAAUUUGUUGCUCUUAAAUGACAGACCUUGAGAGCUUCCCUAAACCCCAGUGUUAAAUGACACCUCAUUGGCUAUGGUAAUGGUGUCCACAAGCAACAUUCCCUACCAGGAGGCUGAUGCAGAUCCAGUGGCGAAACAUCUUGGAAGGUUAGACAAGAUAUCAAGGCAUGAAACUCCCAAGUACUGCAUCAUUGACAACUGAAAUUGCCUAAGUGUGAGAUCAUACUUCUGCCUGAAAACUUGCAAGAAUAUCUUUGGCAUGAGUGUCAGUGGGAUGACCAGAUAAAAUGGAGCCAAUGAGAUCAGAAAAUGAUCAAAAUUUGGCAAAAUGGGAAGCAAGAAGCAAUUUGCAAACAGGGAAAUCAAACAGUGCCACAUCAAAAUAAGAGGGAAGGAAAUCCAGCAGCUAAGCAGGCCACACAGUUCCCAGACAGAGGUAAACUUCUUUUCUGGCUGAAGCCCUGGUUACGGGAAACAGUGUCUUCUGAAACGACCAGUUUUGUGCAAAGUAUGAUGCGUGAAUAA